GUCCUAGCUGUAAACGGUGCACAUUUGCUGUAAGGGGAUUCGACCCCUUUUGUGGCGAAGCUAACGCGUUAAAUGUGCCGCCUGGGGAAGUACGGUCGCAAGAUUAAAACUCAAAGAAAUUGACGGGGGCCUGCACAAGCGGUGGAGUAUGUGGCUUAAUUCGAUGCAACGCGAAGAACCUUACCUGGCCUUGACAUGCAAGUGGUAAAAGGAUGAAAGUCCGAUGAUCCCGCAAGGGAAGCUUGCACAGGUGCUGCAUGGCUGUCGU
rnacentral:rRNA from 1 species